rnacentral:rRNA from 1 species
GAUGAACGCUGGCGGCGUGCUUAACACAUGCAAGUCGAACGGUGAAGGCGGAGCUUGCUCUGCUGGAUCAGUGGCGAACGGGUGAGUAACACGUGGGCAAUCUGCCCCUGACUCUGGGAUAAGCGCUGGAAACGGCGUCUAAUACUGGAUACGAGCUGCGAAGGCAUCUUCAGCAGCUGGAAAGAAUUUCGGUCAGGGAUGAGCUCGCGGCCUAUCAGCUUGUUGGUGAGGUAAUGGCUCACCAAGGCGUCGACGGGUAGCCGGCCUGAGAGGGUGACCGGCCACACUGGGACUGAGACACGGCCCAGACUCCUACGGGAGGCAGCAGUGGGGAAUAUUGCACAAUGGGCGAAAGCCUGAUGCAGCAACGCCGCGUGAGGGACGACGGCCUUCGGGUUGUAAACCUCUUUUAGCAGGGAAGAAGCGAAAGUGACGGUACCUGCAGAAAAAGCGCCGGCUAACUACGUG